AAGAAAAGAAAGAAAAAACAGGGCAACCAAAAAAAGAGGAAAAGAAAAAUCCAAAAUCCAAAAUGCAAAUUGAAAUCUUUAUUGUUUAAUAAAGAAGGUUUUAAUAUCAUUUCCCUUUUUUUGAUUUUCUUUUU
rnacentral:ribozyme from 11 species